rnacentral:rRNA from 1 species
AGUGAACGCUGGCGGUAGGCCUAACACAUGCAAGUCGAACGGCAGCACAGUAAGAGCUUGCUCUUACGGGUGGCGAGUGGCGGACGGGUGAGGAAUACAUCGGAAUCUACUUUUUCGUGGGGGAUAACGUAGGGAAACUUACGCUAAUACCGCAUACGACCUACGGGUGAAAGCAGGGGAUCUUCGGACCUUGCGCGAUUGAAUGAGCCGAUGUCGGAUUAGCUAGUUGGCGGGGUAAAGGCCCACCAAGGCGACGAUCCGUAGCUGGUCUGAGAGGAUGAUCAGCCACACUGGAACUGAGACACGGUCCAGAGUCCUACGGGAGGCAGCAGUGGGGGAUAUUGGACAAUGGGGGCAAGCCUGAUCCAGCCAUACCGCGUGGGUGAAGAAGGCCUUCGGGUUGUAAAGCCCUUUUGUUGGGAAAGAAAAGCAGCAGGUUAAUACCCCGCUGUUCUGACGGUACCCAAAGAAUAAGCACCGGCUAACUUCGUG